CUACGGAGGGUGCGAGCGUUAAUCGGAAUUACUGGGCGUAAAGCGUACGUAGGCGGUUGGUUAAGUUAGAUGUGAAAGCCCCGGGCUUAACCUGGGAACUGCAUUUAAAACUGGCGAGCUAGAGUUGAGUAGAGGGGAGUGGAAUUUCAGGUGUAGCGGUGAAAUGCGUAGAGAUCUGAAGGAACACCAGUGGCGAAGGCGACUCCCUGGACUCGAACUGACGCUGAGGUACGAAAGCGUGGGUAGCAAACGGGAUUAGAAACCCGAGUAGUCC
rnacentral:rRNA from 1 species